UACCCACCACAAUAAUUGAAGUUGAGUACCAAAACGACACCGCAAAGGAUAAGAAAAAAAUGACGUGAUAUUGGAGAAUAAUGUAGAAACCUAAAAUAAGGCUAAAACCCUAUGCCAAAUUUCCAAAGAAAAUGAGCACUCAAAAAAAUAAAUGUUGAGCUGACUCAAUAGCCUUACAACACAAAGAGAAAAUAUAUGCAAACGAGAAUCCCCGGUGAAGCAAUAAUUCAUCAGUUAAAAGCUUACUGUGAAGAAAAUGCCAUAAUAAAAUAGAAUUAUGUGGUUGAAAACAUCUACGCCAAACCCAUCUAUUCCAAGGAACAACUGCUUGCUUACUACACUUAAACUCAUAAGCCAAAGAUAAAGAUAAUACACCAUCGAAAGCAUUUAACCAAAUUAGUUUAAAAUCAAAUCUCGACAAGGGAAGCUUAAUUGUCGAAAUUUCAGACAAUAUAGCAAAAAUGGUGACGCUAGCUGUAUCA
rnacentral:lncRNA from 1 species